GAUGAACGCUGGCGGCGUGCUUAACACAUGCAAGUCGAACGGGAAUUAUUUUAUUGAAACUUCGGUCGAUUUAAUUUAAUUCUAGUGGCGGACGGGUGAGUAACGCGUGGCUAACCUGCCUUAUACAGGGGGAUAACAGUCAGAAAUGGCUGCUAAUACCGCAUAAGCGCACAGAGCUGCAUGGCUCAGUGUGAAAAACUCCGGUGGUAUAAGAUGGACCCGCGUUGGAUUAGCUGGUUGGUGGGGUAACGGCCCACCAAGGCGACGAUCCAUAGCCGGCCUGAGAGGGUGAACGGCCACAUUGGGACUGAGACACGGCCCAGACUCCUACGGGAGGCAGCAGUGGGGAAUAUUGCACAAUGGGGGAAACCCUGAUGCAGCGACGCCGCGUGAAGGAAGAAGUAUCUCGGUAUGUAAACUUCUAUCAGCAGGGAAGAUAGUGACGGUACCUGACUAAGAAGCCCCGGCUAACUACGUG
rnacentral:rRNA from 1 species